rnacentral:rRNA from 1 species
AGGUAAGCUACUAAGAGCGAAUGGUGGAUGCCUUGACUGGUAAAGGCGAUGAAGGACGUACUAGACUGCGAUAAGCUACGGGGAGCUGUCAAGAAGCUUUGAUCCGUAGAUUUCCGAAUGGGGCAACCCAAUGUAUAGAGAUAUACAUUACCUAUAUAGGAGCGAACGAGGGGAAUUGAAACAUCUUAGUACCCUCAGGAAAAGAAAUCAAUAGAGAUUGCGUCAGUAGCGGCGAGCGAAAGCGCAAGAGGGCAAACCCAGUGCUUGCACUGGGGGUUGUAGGACUGCAAUGUGCAAGAGGUAAGU